UUCAAUCUGAAAGAUAAUUCCUACCCGUACCCUUCGGGCUUUCCAUCUUUCAGUCUGAAAUCCUUCCCUUAUCCUUCCCAAAUCCCAAGUUCCCACUUCCCAUUCUCAACCUCUGCCUCUCAGCGCAUCUGCGACCUGCGACGGUGCGACCCAUCUCACUCUCAAUCUCUCGCCCCCAUGACCCGUGAUGGCGUGACCCGCGACCUCCUCUGGCUUUGAGUCCUUUCGUCGUUUCCAGUCUUGAGUCUCUUAACCCACGACUUCCUUUGCAUGAUGGGAGGUUUUGAUUUAAGGGUUUGUAACCAUUGGUUGUGCAUCUGAUGAAUCCUGACAAGGAGGUGCUUCUACAUCUGAAAGCGUGUGCGAGGCGAUCGGACUUCCAAUUGGGUAUGAACGUUCAUACCCUUGUGGUGAAAACGGAGUUCGACUUCGAUGUUUAUGUUAAAACCUGUUUGCUCUGUUUGUAUGUGAAAUGUGGGUAUUUGGAACAUGCACAUAAUAUAUUUGAUGAAAUGCCGGAGAAAAAUGUUGUUUUUUGGACUACCGUGAUUUGUGGGUACAUUGAAGCUCGCCGGUACAGAGAAGCUAUUGAUACGUUUUGCGGGUUGUUGGAGAUGGGUUUGAGGUCUAAUAGUUUUAGCCUUGUUCGGGUUUUAUUUGCAUGUGGGAGGUUAGGGGAUAUAGGCAGUGGGGUGGGGAAUGGAUUGAUGGAUACAUAACAGAGAUUGGUAUGGGUAGGAAUGUGUUUGUUGCAACCCGAUUGCUAUGCCAUGGUUGGCAUACUUCCUGUAGUCAGAACGAAAUUCAUAAGUUAUCAAGGAAAAAGGUAGGACUAGUGAUUCCAUUCAGCUCCUCAACCUGUACAUGGAAUAGACAUCAUAUCACACAUAAGCUAGGGUGUAAAUCUUAAAAGUGAAAACUGUUGAAUUUCAAAUGUGUAACUCUAAACUAAUUUGUCCUUUAACUUGCCACUGACCUUGAUGUUAUGUUCUGUCCUUUCUGCAUCCGAUGAAUGUAUAAGCACCAUCACAUUGUGAAUCUUAUGUCUCAAUUUAUUUAAAAUUUCCGAUUUCAAUUUUUUUUA